GCCUAAAGCGUCCGUAGCCUGUUCUAUAAGUUUCCGGUUAAAUCCAUUAGCUCAACUAAUGGGCUGCCGAAAAUACUGUAGAACUAGGGAGUGGGAGAGGUAGACGGUAUUCGGUAGGAAGGGGUAAAAUCCUUUGAUCUAUUGAGGACCACCUGUGGCGAAGGCGGUCUACCAGAACACGUUCGACGGUGAGGGAUGAAAGCUGGGGGAGCAAACCGGAUUAGAUACCCGGGUAGUCCCAGCCGUAAACGAUGCAGACUCGGUGAUGCGCUGGCUUGUGGCCAGUGCAGUGCCGCAGGGAAGCCGUUAAGUUUGCCGCCUGGGAAGUACGUACGCAAGUAUGAAACUUAAAGGAAUUGGCAGGGGAGCACCACAAGGGGUGAAGCCUGCGGUUCAAUUGGAGUCAACGCCAGAAAUCUUACCCGAAGAGACAGCAGAAUGAAGGUCAAGCUGGAGACUUUACCAGACAAGCUGAGAAGUGGUGCAUGGCCGUCGCCAGCUCGUGCCGUGAGAUGUCCUGUUAAGUCAGGUAACGAGCGAGAUCCCUGCCUCUAGUUGCCACCAUUACUCUCAGGAGUAGUGGGGCGAAUUAGCGGGACCGCCGCAGUUAAUGCGGAGGAAGGAAGGGGCCACGGCAGGUCAGUAUGCCCCGAA
rnacentral:rRNA from 1 species